UUANGUCUUGGGCUGCACACGUGCUACAAUGGCCGGUACAAUGAGCUGCGAUACCGUGAGGUGGAGCGAAUCUCAAAAAGCCGGUCUCAGUUCGGAUUGGGGUCUGCAACUCGACCCCAUGAAGUCGGAGUCGCUAGUAAUCGCAGAUCAGCAUUGCUGCGGUGAAUACGUUCCCGGGCCUUGUACACACCGCCCGUCACGUCACGAAAGUCGGUAACACCCGAAGCCGGUGGCCCAACCCCUUGUGGGAGGGAGCUGUCGAAGGUGGGACUGGCGAUUGGGACGAAGUCGUAACAAGGUAGCCGUACCGGAAGGUGCGGUUGGAUCACCUCCU
rnacentral:rRNA from 1 species